GCAGAAUUGACCAAGGUGUUGAUCCCAAAAGGGCCAAAGGAUUAUGUGAUUGUUUUCGUCUCUAUAAGAAUGGCAACUGAAGAUUUUGGGCCGAUACGGAUCAUGUGAAUUAUUCAGAGUUAAACGAGGAAGUGACUGGAAUAUAAGUCUUGUAUAGUGGUCUUAUUUGUCUUAUAU